AUACGGCCACAUCACGUUGAGACAUCGGUUCCUGUACGAUCACCGAAGUUAAGCAAAGUCAGCCUCGUCAGUACCUCGAUGGGUGACCGCUUGGGAAUAUCAGGUGCCGUAAG